rnacentral:tRNA from 1 species
GCGACCGUAGCUCAGUUGGUAGAGCGCCGGGUUGUGAUCCUGGAUGUCGCGGGUUCAAAUCCCGUCGGCCGCCC